rnacentral:rRNA from 1 species
GAUGAACGCUGGCGGCGUGCCUAAUACAUGCAAGACGAGCGAAUGGAUUAAGAGCUUGCUCUUAUGAAGUUAGCGGCGGACGGGUGAGUAACACGUGGGUAACCUGCCCAUAAGACUGGGAUAACUCCGGGAAACCGGGGCUAAUACCGGAUAACAUUUUGAACCGCAUGGUUCGAAAUUGAAAGGCGGCUUCGGCUGUCACUUAUGGAUGGACACGCGUCGCAUUAGCUACUUGGUGAGGUAACGGCUCACCAAGGCAACGAUGCGUAGCCGACCUGAGAGGGUGAGCGGCCACACUGGGACUGAGACACGGCCCAGACUCCUGCGGGAGGCAGCAGUAGGGAAUCUUCCGCAAUGGACGAAAGUCUGACGGAGCAACGCCGCGUGAGUGAUGAAGGCUUUCGGGUCGUAAAACUCUGUUGUUAGGGAAGAACAAGUGCUAGUUGAAUAAGCUGGCACCUUGACGGUACCUAACCAGAAAGCCACGGCUAACUACGUGCCAGCAGCCGCGGUAA